rnacentral:rRNA from 1 species
UGAGCAAUCUGCCCUUCACAUCGGAAUAACCAUUGGAAACGAUGGCUAAUACCGAAUAUGACCUCGGAUCGCAUGAUCUGAAGUGGAAAGCUCCGGCGGUGAAGGAUGAGCUCGCGGCCUAUCAGCUUGUUGGUGAGGUAAUAGCUCACCAAGGCGAUGACGGGUAGCCGGCUGAGAGGGUGACCGGCCACACUGGGACUGAGACACGGCA